rnacentral:rRNA from 1 species
UCGAGGAUCUUCGGCAAUGGGCGCAAGCCUGACCGAGCGACGCCGCGUGGAUGAUGAAGGCCUUCGGGUUGUAAAAUCCUGUCGAGGGGGAUCAAGCGCAAGUUGAGUGAUCCCUGGAGGAAGCACGGGCUAAGUUCGUGCCAGCAGCCGCGGUAAGACGAACCGUGCAAACGUUAUUCGGAAUCACUGGGCAUAAAGGGCGCGUAGGCGGCUUGAUAAGUCAGGGGUGAAAUCCGGCAGCUUAACUGUCGCAGUGCCUUUGAUACUGUCGAGCUCGAGGGAGGUAGGGGUCUGUGGAACUUCCGGUGGAGCGGUGAAAUGCGUUGAUAUCGGAAGGAACGCCGGUGGCGAAAGCGACGGACUGGAUCUCUUCUGACGCUGAGGCGCGAAAGCCAGGGGAGCAAACGGGAUUAGAUACCCGGGUAGUCC